AGCGGCGGACGGGUGAGUGACACGUGGGUAACCUGCCUUAAUGAGGGGGAUAGCCUUCCGAAAGGAAGAUUAAUACCGCAUAACAUUGAGUUUUCGCAUGAAAACUCAAUCAAAGAUUUAUCGCAUUAAGAUGGACCCGCGGCGCAUUAGCUAGUUGGUGAGGUAACGGCUCACCAAGGCCACGAUGCGUAGCCGACCUGAGAGGGUGAUCGGCCACAUUGGGACUGAGACACGGCCCAGACUCCUACGGGAGGCAGCAGUGGGGAAUAUUGCACAAUGGGGGAAACCCUGAUGCAGCAACGCCGCGUGAGUGAAGAAGGUCUUCGGAUCGUAAAGCUCUGUCUUUGGGGACGAUAAUGACGGUACCCAAGGAGGAAGCCACGGCUAACUACGUGCCAGCAGCCGCGGUAAUACGUAGGUGGCAAGCGUUGUCCGGAAUUACUGGGCGUAAAGGAUGCGUAGGCGGAUAUGUAAGUCAGAUGUGAAAUACCCGGGCUCAACUUGGGUGCUGCAUUUGAAACUGCAUGUCUAGAGUGCGGGAGAGGAAAGUGGAAUUCCUAGUGUAGCGGUGAAAUGCGUAGAGAUUAGGAAGAACACCAGUGGCGAAGGCGACUUUCUGGACCGUAACUGACGCUGAGGCAUGAAAGCGUGGGUAGCAGACAGGAUUAGAUACCCUGGUAGUCCACGCC
rnacentral:rRNA from 1 species